rnacentral:tRNA from 8 species
GAUAGCUCAGUCGGUAGAGCGACGGACUGUUAAUCCGCAGGUCGCUGGUUCGAGCCCAGCU